rnacentral:rRNA from 1 species
GACGAACGCUGGCGGCGCGCCUAACACAUGCAAGUCGAACGAGCAAAGAGGAGCUUGCUUCUCUGAGCGAGUGGCGAACGGGUGAGUAACGCGUGAGGAACCUGCCUCAAAGAGGGGGACAACAGUUGGAAACGACUGCUAAUACCGCAUAAGCCCACGGGUCGGCAUCGACCAGAGGGAAAAGGAGCAAUCCGCUUUGAGAUGGCCUCGCGUCCGAUUAGCUAGUUGGUGAGGUAAUGGCCCACCAAGGCGACGAUCGGUAGCCGGACUGAGAGGUUGAACGGCCACAUUGGGACUGAGACACGGCCCAGACUCCUACGGGAGGCAGCAGUGGGGAAUAUUGCACAAUGGGGGAAACCCUGAUGCAGCGACGCCGCGUGGAGGAAGAAGGUCUUCGGAUUGUAAACUCCUGUUGUUGAGGAAGAUAAUGACGGUACUCAACAAGGAAGUGACGGCUAACUACGUGCCAGCAGCCGCGGUAAAACGUAGGUCACAAGCGUUGUCCGGAAUUACUGGGUGUAAAGGGAGCGCAGGCGGGAAGACAAGUUGGAAGUGAAAUCCAUGGGCUCAACCCAUGAACUGCUUUCAAAACUGUUUUUCUUGAGUAAUGCAGAGGUAGACGGAAUUCCCGGUGUAGCGGUGGAAUGCGUAGAUAUCGGGAGGAACACCAGUGGCGAAGGCGGCCUACUGGGCACCAACUGACGCUGAGGCUCGAAAGUGUGGGUAGCAAACAGGAUUAGAUACCCUGGUAGUCCACACCGUAGACGAUGAUUACUAGGUGUUGGAGGAUUGACCCCUUCAGUGCCGCAGUUAACACAAUAAGUAAUCCACCUGGGGAGUACGACCGCAAGGUUGAAACUCAAAGGAAUUGACGGGGGCCCGCACAAGCAGUGGAGUAUGUGGUUUAAUUCGACGCAACGCGAAGAACCUUACCAAGUCUUGACAUCCUGCGACGGACAUAGAAAUAUGUCUUUCCUUCGGGACGCAGAGACAGGUGGUGCAUGGUUGUCGUCAGCUCGUGUCGUGAGAUGUUGGGUUAAGUCCCGCAACGAGCGCAACCCUUAUGGUCAGUUACUACGCAAGAGGACUCUGGCCAGACUGCCGUUGACAAAACGGAGGAAGGUGGGGAUGACGUCAAAUCAUCAUGCCCUUUAUGACUUGGGCUACACACGUACUACAAUGGCGUUAAACAAAGAGAAGCAAGACCGCGAGGUGGAGCAAAACUCAGAAACAACGUCCCAGUUCGGACUGCAGGCUGCAACUCGCCUGCACGAAGUCGGAAUUGCUAGUAAUCGUGGAUCAGCAUGCCACGGUGAAUACGUUCCCGGGCCU